AAUCAACGCUGGCGGCGUGCCUCAGACAUGCAAGUCGAACGCUGCUGUUCGCCUUCGGGUGGACAGCGGAGUGGCGCACGGGUGAGUAACACGUAGGUAAUCUACCUUUGGGUGGGGAAUAACAGCCGGAAACGGCUGCUAAUACCGCAUAAUGCAGCGGCAUCACAUGAUGACAGUUGUUAAAGCGAGGGAUCGUAAGACCUCGCGCCUGAAGAGGAGCCUGCGGCAGAUUAGGUAGUUGGUGAGGUAAUGGCUCACCAAGCCUGCGAUCUGUAACCGGCCUGAGAGGGCGGUCGGUCACACUGACACUGACAUACGGGUCAGACUCCUACGGGAGGCAGCAGUCGGG
rnacentral:rRNA from 1 species